CGGCCAUGUAGAGCGGGUUCUCGUAGCGCAUGUCGAUCACGCCGGUGCCGAUCUCGAUCCGCCGGGUGCGCGCCCCGAUCGCCGCC
rnacentral:tRNA from 1 species